UUGCAUAUAUCAUGUGGAGCUAUAACUCUUUAACUUAUUGCAAUGUCAAGUUAUCUAUACUGAAGUAGGGCUUACGUUGAAAGUAUUCUGGAAUGCAGAAUGUCUCAAUUCCACAUGCAUGCAUGAGUGCAAGCUCGCGUACACAGCAAUCUAGAGAAAGAUGUAGCUAGGUUCCUUUUACAAGAGAGAACAAGGGUCAUCAGUGCA
rnacentral:lncRNA from 1 species